rnacentral:rRNA from 1 species
AGUGAACGCUGGCGGUAGGCCUAACACAUGCAAGUCGAACGGCAACACAGUAAGAGCUUGCUCUUACGGGUGGCGAGUGGCGGACGGGUGAGGAAUACAUCGGCAUCUACUUUUUCGUGGGGGAUAACGUGGGGAAACUUACGCUAAUACCGCAUACGACCUACGGGUGAAAGCAGGGGAUCUUCGGACCUUGCGCGAUUGAAUGAGCCGAUGUCGGAUUAGCUAGUUGGCGGGGUAAAGGCCCACCAAGGCGACGAUCCGUAGCUGGUCUGAGAGGAUGAUCAGCCACACUGGAACUGAGACACGGUCCAGACUCCUACGGGAGGCAGCAGUGGGGAAUAUUGGACAAUGGGCGCAAGCCUGAUCCAGCCAUACCGCGUGGGUGAAGAAGGCCUUCGGGUUGUAAAGCCCUUUUGUUGGGAAAGAAAAGCAGCAGGUGAAUACCCCGCUGUUCUGACGGUACCCAAAGAAUAAGCACCGGCUAACUUCGUG